rnacentral:rRNA from 1 species
GACGAACGCUGGCGGCGUGCUUAACACAUGCAAGUCGUACGAUGACCCGGCUCUUCGGAGCUGGUGAUUAGUGGCGAACGGGUGAGUAACACGUGGGUGACCUGCCCUGCACUCUGGGGUAAGCCCGGGAAACUGGGUCUAAUACUGGAUACGACCAGUGGCCGCAUGGUCUGCUGGUGGAAAGCCCUUCGGGGUGGUGUGGGAUGGGCCCGCGGCCUAUCAGCUUGUUGGUGGGGUGAUGGCCUACCAAGGCGACGACGGGUAGCCGGCCUGAGAGGGUGUCCGGCCACACUGGGACUGAGACACGGCCCAGACUCCUACGGGAGGCAGCAGUGGGGAAUCUUGCACAAUGGGCGAAAGCCUGAUGCAGCGACGCCGCGUGAGGGAUGACGGCCUUCGGGUUGUAAACCUCUUUCGGCAGGGAACAAGCCUGGGGGUUUUCUUCUGGGUGAGGGUACCUGCGGAAGAAGCACCGGCUAACUACGUG